CUAAAAGUGGCCUCUUGAUAUUAAGAACAAGUGAUAUGUCUUUUGCAAGAAGAUAUUUCUGAGCAUCUCAAGAAACAGAUUUCUCCACCAGAAGGACAUCAGGGUGGCGUGCUUCGAUCUUUGCUACUGUCAUCUUUAAAUGGUCCAUCUCCUGCUAUAAAAGAGUAUCAAAACUUGACAAUAGGUUAGAAACUCGCUGGUACUCAAGACCACCACCAAGAAUCAUGAACCGAGGUUUCUCCAUUUGAGAUGAAGAGAAAAUGCAGGAUCAAACUGAAACUGAAGUAGAAGUUCCAGCAACUGUAGACGAAAAUCAAGUUCAAAGUCAGAGUGAAGUGCAUAUUCCUGAAUGCCCUCAAAACACAGAAAUUGUUGUAAACGACACAUCAGAAGUUAGAAAAUCAACAAGAACAAGAAACUUGCAAUUUCCGGUGGUUACACGUUAUAUUUCACUGAAGUUGAAAUUGAUUUGGGGGAAGAAAAUAAUCCUAUAUUACUCAAGGAAGCCAUGCAGUCAAAGCAUCAGUUAAUGGAAAAUGGCAAUGCAGCUUAAAUUGUUGAGCAAGUGCAAGAAUGAAGUUGGACUUUGGUGUAUAAAACAGAAGACUUGUACCCCACAUUUUAUCAUUAAACAAAGUUAAAAGAAAAGCUACAAGAGCUCUUAAGAAUCGUUCUUUAAUAUCCUCCACUUCAUCACUUGAAGUAGGACACUGAUAGACAAAUUAUGUGCAGCACAUCAUCGUUGACCAAGUCCAUCAAGUAGAAUGUUGAAAAUAAUGUCUGGCAAGCUUUCCUGGGAAGAAAAAUUUUUACUCUUCGCAUAAGCACUCAAUGAAGGUAAGAAUGAAGCUACAACACUUCCUCCUGGGCACUUCCACGAGCAUAAUAUUUCAGCAGCAAGCCAGGAUCGAGUCGGCUUUUCAUUUGUUGCUUCCACAAAGAGAGGGAGAGUAUAUGUAACAUAACCCCCAACAGCUCUAUCAAUCCCAAUUUCUGAUAUCAUCUUGUCAAUAAAUGAAAUUAACUUGCAGUGGCCAAAGUCUUGGAUAGAAAUAUCCUUGGAAAUUAUUCCCUCUGGCCUGCUAAAAUUCUGAACUAUCAACAAAGGCCAUCUAUCACCUCAGCAGAGAAGUUGGUCCAACAGAUUUUGUUCCUUAUAGGGACCCUGAGAGAGACAGUCCAGAAUUUCAAGCUGAUUAUAUUGUGUGAAGUACUAUCAGGUAGAACAUGUACAUAUGCAGAACCAUGUACAUAUAAAGAGCCUGAUACUGAUAUACUAAAUCAGUGAAUAUGUACAUAUGCAGAAAAACUUGAUACUGAUAUGCCAAAUCAGUAAGUUAAUACAGCUCUUUAUCUAGUUGAAAUUAAUUUUGGAUCAAACAUGUUUUACAAAUUACUGUAAAUAAAGUAAACAUGUACAAGAUCAUACUUGAGGUAGUUUCAUGUAAUUUUACUUGCUGCAUUGUGAUCAUAGAAGACUAGUGAUUUUCCAAUUCAUUGUAAUCUUCUGUAGUUCAAUGCAGUUUAGCAAAAUUGACAGGACUUUGAAAAACAGAUGAUGUCCUUGAACUCUUGUGCACACUUAAGAAAACAACUCAACAAUGUAAGUUGAUUUUGUAUGAUAUCUAGUUCAGUGGGAGAUUGUAAGACCUUAUUGAACUAGACAUCAACACUUUCUGCAAAUUGACAUUGUGAGGAGUUUUAGAGUUUCAGUUUGUAACAUCAGAGUAUUUAAUAAAGCUUGUAAUCGAAAAUAGUUUUAUUAAUGCAAUCUGUUUUUGAAUUUGAA